UCCAACAGAAAGUUUUCAUCCGAGCUUCUACAGCAGAUGACUUCCGUCUGUGGUAUCAACACCUAAGCCACCCAACAACAGUUAACCCGUCAGCAACCUCAGAAACAUCCAAGCUUCUCUUAGAUUGCUGUGAUAGAAAGCUAUUCCGCUCCACCAGAUGUCCCAAUCGAGCUUCAGCCGUCCGGCCCGAACUCCCCGGCAAGUCGCGACAACGGACACCACUCCACUCCCUA
rnacentral:lncRNA from 1 species